GAUGAACGCUGGCGGCGUGCCUAAUACAUGCAAGUCGAGCGAACAGACGAGGAGCUUGCUCCUCUGACGUUAGCGGCGGACGGGUGAGUAACACGUGGAUAACCUACCUAUAAGACUGGGAUAACUUCGGGAAACCGGAGCUAAUACCGGAUAAUAUAUUGAACCGCAUGGUUCAAUAGUGAAAGACGGUUUUGCUGUCACUUAUAGAUGGAUCCGCGCCGCAUUAGCUAGUUGGUAAGGUAACGGCUUACCAAGGCAACGAUGCGUAGCCGACCUGAGAGGGUGAUCGGCCACACUGGAACUGAGACACGGUCCAGACUCCUACGGGAGGCAGCAGUAGGGAAUCUUCCGCAAUGGGCGAAAGCUUGACGGAGCAACGCCGCGUGAGUGAUGAAGGUCUUCGGAUCGUAAAACUCUGUUAUUGGGGAAGAACAAAUGUGUAAGUAACUAUGCACGUCUUGACGGUACCUAAUCAGAAAGCCACGGCUAACUACGUG
rnacentral:rRNA from 1 species